GUUUACUUCUUUGACCAGAUAACACACUAGUGGCGGACGGGUGAGUAACGCGUGGAUAACCUGCCUUAUACAGGGGGAUAACAGGGAGAAAUUCUUGCUAAUACCCCAUAGGUAUGUCUGACGCAUGUUGGACAUAUUAAAGCUUUGGCGGUAUAAGAUGGGUCCGCGUCUGAUUAGCUAGUUGGUGGGGUAAAGGCCCACCAAGGCGACGAUCAGUAGCCGGCUUGAGAGAGUGGACGGCCACAUUGGGACUGAGACACGGCCCAAACUCCUACGGGAGGCAGCAGUGGGGAAUACUGCACAAUGGGGGAAACCCUGAUGCAGCGACGCCGCGUGAAGGAAGAAGGUCUUCGGAUCGUAAACUUCUAUCAGCAGGGAAGAAGGAAGUGACAGUACCUGAGUAAGAAGCCCCGGCUAACUACGUGCCAGCAGCCGCGGUAAUACGUAGGGGGCGAGCGUUAUCCGGAAUUACUGGGUGUAAAGGGUGCGUAGGCGGUAUGGCAAGUCAGUUGUGAAACCCCCUGGCUCAACCAGGGGCUUGCAAUUGAAACUGUCAUACUAGAGUGCAGGAGAGGAAAGCGGAAUUCCUAGUGUAGCGGUGAAAUGCGUAGAUAUUAGGAAGAACACCAGUGGCGAAGGCGGCUUUCUGGACUGUAACAGACGCUGAGGCACGAAAGCGUGGGGAGCGAACAGGAUUAGAUACCCUGGUAGUCCACGCCGUAAACGAUGAGUGCUAGGUGUUGGGGUCUAAUUAGAUCUCGGUGCUGAAGUUAACGCAUUAAGCACUCCACCUGGGGAGUACGAUCGCAAGAUUGAAACUCAAAUGAAUUGACGG
rnacentral:rRNA from 1 species